GAACUUCUGAAGAGCCUAAAACAAGACGAAACACUUGUCCAGUGC
rnacentral:hammerhead_ribozyme from 1 species